UUAUAAAAUUCUGGAUAAAGCUUAUUAUGAAAACUUUAUAUCCAUAGGUCUCGACCAAAUCUUGUGCCAGCAGUCGCGGUAAGACAAGGGAGACGAGUGUUAUUCAUCUUUAACAGGUAUAUAGGGUACCUAGACGGUGUGCAAAGGCUUAAAUAAGUACCUGUUACACUUGAGUUUGAUAUGUGAGAGGAAGAUGUCGGAAUUGUUGGUGUAAAGAUGAAAUUUGCUAAUACCAAUAGGACUGAUAACGGCGAAGGCAAGCCUCUAUGUACAUGUACUUGCUAACUCUAAAUUUAUUUUGAGCAUAAAUUUCUCUUAUAAGAUGUAAAAUAUUUAUGCAAAAAAAAAGAGAAAUAAGCAAAGUGCUAUAACUGACGUUGAGGGACGAAGGCUCAGAUAGUGAAGAGGAUUAGAUACCCCCGUAGCCUGGGCAGACAAUGAUGAGUGCCAUAGGUUGGCUUUAAGGCAAAACUAUAAAUGAAAGUGUAAGCACUCCACCUCAAGAGUAAUGUGGCAACGCAGGAACUGAAAUCAUUAGACCGUUUCUGAAACCAGUAGUGAAGUAUGUUAUUUAAUUCGAUGAUCCUCGAA
rnacentral:rRNA from 1 species